UGGAAGGUAGCUCAGUGGUAGAGCACUUGUCUAGGAUGUAUGAGGCCCUUAGUUCAAUUCCCAGCAUUCAAG
rnacentral:tRNA from 1 species